UACGUAGGGGGCAAGCGUUGUCCGGAAUCAUUGGGCGUAAAGAGCGCGUAGGCGGCCCGGUAAGUCCGCUGUGAAAGUCAAGGGCUCAACCCUUGGAUGCCGGUGGAUACUGUCGGGCUUGAGUACGGAAGAGGCGAGUGGAAUUCCUGGUGUAGCGGUGAAUGCGCAGAUAUCAGGAGGAACACCAAUUGCGAAGGCAGCUCGCUGGACGUUACUGACGCUGAGACGCGAAGCGUGGGAG
rnacentral:rRNA from 1 species